AUGGCCCGUGCUGUUGUUCCGUUGAAUUUUAAUGCGUUCCUUGAGAAAGCAAAGUUGAAAGAUGAUGGUAGCAAUUACACGGACUGGGUCCGUAACUUGAGGAUUAUCCUCAUUGCUGCACAGAAGAAUUACGUCCUGGAAGCACCGCUAGGUGCCAGGCCUGCUGCUGGAGCAACACCAGAUGUUAUGAACGUCUGGCAGAGCAAAGCUGAUUACUACUUGAUAGUUCAGUGUGCCAUGCUUUACGGCUUAGAAUCGGGACUUCAACGAUGUUUUAAACGUCAUGGAGCAUAUGAGAUGUUCCAGGAGUUGAAGUUAAUAUUUCAAGCAAAUGCCCGGAUUGAGAGAUAUGAAGUCUCCAAUAAGUUCUAUAGCUUCAAGAUGGAGAAGAACAGUUAUGUCAGUGAGCAUAUACUCAAAAUGUCUGGGUAUAAUAAUCACUUGAUUCAAUUGGGAGUUAAUCUUCCAGAUGAUUGCGUCAUUGACAGAAUUCUCCAAUCACUCCCAUCUAGCUACAAGAGCUUCGUGAUGAACUAUAAUAUGCAAGGGAUGAAUAAGACUAUUCCCGAGCUCUUCGCAAUGCUGAAAGCUGCGGAGGUAGAAAUCAAGAAGGAGCAUCAAGUGUUGAUGGUCAACAAGACCACUAGUUUCAAGAAAAAGGGCAAAGGGAAGAGGAAGGGGAACUUCAAAAAGAACAACAAGCAAGUUGCUACUCAAGAGAAGAAACCCAAACCUGGACCUAAGCCUGAAACUGAGUGCUUCUACUGCAAGCAGACUGGUCACUGGAAGCGGAACUGCCCCAAGUAUUUGGCAGAUAAGAAGGAUGGCAAGGUGAACAAAGGUAUAUGUGAUAUACAUGUUAUUGAUGUGUACCUUACUAAUGCUCGCAGUAGCACCUGGGUAUUUGAUACUGGUUCUGUUGCUAACAUUUGCAACUCGAAACAGGGACUACGGAUUAAGCGAAGAUUGGCUAAGGACGAGGUGACGAUGCGCGUGGGAAAUGGUUCCAAAGUCGAUGUGAUCGCGGUCGGCACGCUACCUCUACAUCUACCUUCGAGAUUAAUAUUAGACCUAAAUAAUUGUUAUUUGGUGCCAGCGUUAAGCAUGAACAUUAUAUCUCGAUCUUGUUUGAUGUGA
rnacentral:rRNA from 1 species